rnacentral:rRNA from 1 species
CCUACGGGAGGCAGCAGUGAGGAAUAUUGGUCAAUGGACGGAAGUCUGAACCAGCCAUGCAGCGUGCAGGAUGACGGCCCUAUGAGUUGUAAACUUCUUUUGUACGGGAAUAAUAGUUCUCACGUGUAGGUGUUUGUAUGUAUUGUACGAAUAAGGAUCGGCUAACUCCGUGCCAGCAGCCGCGGUAAUACGGAGGAUUCGAGCGUUAUCCGGAUUUAUUGGGUUUAAAGGGUGCGUAGGCUGGUGGAUAAGUUAGUGGUCAAAGUUUGGGGCUUAACCCCGUACCUGCAUCUGAUACUGGUCGACGAGAGAGCGGAUGCAGCAGGCGGAAUGAGUGGUGUAGCGGUGAAAUGCUUAGAUAUUACUCAGAACACCGAUUGCGCAGGCAGCUUGCUAAUCCGCAUCUGACGCUGAUGCACGAAAGCGUGGGUAGCGAACAGGAUUAGAUACCCUAGUAGUC